rnacentral:rRNA from 1 species
CCCUUAGAUGUCCUGGGCCGCACGCGCGCUACACUGAUGCAUGCAACGAGUUUAUAACCUUGGCCUGAAAGGUCUGGGUAAUCUUUUGAACGUGCAUCGUGAUAGGGAUAGAUUAUUGCAAUUGUUAAUCUUGAACGAGGAAUUCCUAGUAAACGCGAGUCAUCAGCUCGCAUUGAUUACGUCCCUGCCCUUUGUACACACCGCCCGUCGCACCUACCGAUUGAAUGGUUCGGUGAAGAUCUCGGACUUCGAUAUUUAUUCUUUAUUGAGUUUAUAUUGUGGGAAGUUAUCUAAACCUCAUCAUUUAGAGGAAGGUGAAGUCGUAACG